CCUACCUGAAUACUUGCUGAAAGUGGAGA
rnacentral:piRNA from 1 species